rnacentral:lncRNA from 1 species
UGGCCUCUUGGAGCGGAGAGUAAUCCUUGGCCAACAGCUAGCAAGACAGUGAGACCUCAGCCAUACAACCUCAAGGAGAUAACUUCUGCUAAUAACCUGAGGGACCAUAGAAGUGCCCAUUUACCUAGUGUAGCCUCCUGAUGACUAUGCAGCUAGCCAACACCUUUAGUGCAGCUUCGUGACACCUUGCAAGAAGAACCUGGUGCCCAGAUACCUGAUCCACAAACACUGUGUGAUAGUUAAUAUGUGGUAUUUUAAACUGAAUUUGUGGUAAUUUGCUACAUAGCAAUGGAAGACGAAUACGUCUUUAUAAAAUUUAUUUUAAAGAAGAAAUCAGUCUCAGCUGGGCUAGAUAGAAAAAGGAGACAGACUCUGUCUUUCUUCAGACGCGGUUUGAGAAGUUAAUACCUUAAAACACUUAAUAGUGAGUUGAAAGGAACAUUCCCAUUUGUCCAGGGUCUGUUUUUACAAAGAUACGACUCCCUUCAGUAGUUUAAGUUGUCAUCUCUGAUCAGUUCCUUUGAGGGAGAAUUCCAAGGGAAAGCUUUUUGGUUUCCUGAAACCAUUGGAAACCCGUAAACAUACCUAAAAAGUGGGAAGGGGGAAGCUAACACCGAGAAUGUCAUUGAAAGCUUUUAAUGAGGAAGAUCUGUGCUGGAGAUUGGCCCCUGAGCAGGUCCGCAUCUCUCUUAGCUGAAAGACGUUUCAUUUUUCUUGGGAAAGUGGCCAGUCUUUCAAAGAUGCAAGGCCCCUUCCAGAAGGAAAGUUACCUUGAAGGUUCCACUCCAGCCCCAGUGCUAUUUGCUUUAUAGGUGGCAAGGUUUUGUCCCUUCCAUUACUUCCACCCUCCUCUAGGGAUUCAAGGUACGCGCUUAUUCAACCACAUCAUUCAUUCAUCAAACUCUCAUUGAGCUAUUAACGUAAAGCAGGCUGUGCUCAGCUCUAGGGGACCAGGAAUGAACUAAACCCCUGUAUUGCAGAAGGAGGAAGCACUUGAUGUCGACACUAGCACGUCAUAAUAAUUAAUAAGCACCAACAUUUUCCGAGGGCUGAGCGUGUCCUAGGAGGUGGGCUAAGAGGACCCACAUGCCAAGCCCUGUUUAUGCUACCCCAGGUGAAUCCCAUUCAAAUGUACUUUCCAAAAGGGCAGAAGCUGGGUCUAAUUUGAUUGCUAAGGGACCCCUUGUGUCUCCACUAUGCUUGGGACACGGUGAAGACCUCAAAGUGUAUUUCUUGCCAAUGAAUGAAUGAAUGAAUAUACGAUCAUAACUGAUAACUGUGGCUUAGAUAUUAGUGUUAUGACCAUUUCCUUUGAUGAGGAACCUGAGGCUUCAGACCAGUUAAAUAAUUCAUCCUCGAUAGCCAAAACCCAGAUUCUCUCCCCCAUCAGACCACACUGCCAUCUCCCUGGCUCUACCGGGCACCCCACCUGGAACCUAAGCCCACAGCAGCGCGGGCUGCGGGCGGCGAGGCUCGCCGCGGGCGCCCUCUGUCGGCGCUCGGUUGGAGGCGCAGCGGCCCCGCGAGCAGACGCGCAGAGAAUAGAGAGGCCCAAAGAGAGAUAGAUGGAGGAACAGCUGGUUGGUGGAGCAGUCAGAAGGCAUGCAAUAUUUAUCAAGUCCACUAUCUAAUGUGGGCACAGUUUGUGGUACCUCAAAACAGUUGCAAUAGUAACAUCAAAGAUAACUGAUGGCAGAUCACCAUAGCAGAUAAAAUAAUAAUGGCAAAGUUCGAAAUAUAGUGAGAACUACCAAAAUGUGGCAGAGAUGUAAAGCGAGCACAUACUGUUGGGAAAAUGGCACUAAUAGACUUGUUAAACACAGGGUUGCCACAAACUUUCAAUUUGUAAAAAAUGCCA